rnacentral:rRNA from 1 species
GGAUGGACCCGCGUCUGAUUAGCUAGUUGGUAAGGUAACGGCUUACCAAGGCGACGAUCAGUAGCCGACCUGAGAGGGUGAUCGGCCACAUUGGAACUGAGACGCGGUCCAAACUCCUACGGGAGGCAGCAGUGGGGAAUAUUGCACAAUGGGCGAAAGCCUGAUGCAGCAACGCCGCGUGAGCGAUGAAGGCCUUCGGGUCGUAAAGCUCUGUCCUCAAGGAAGAUAAUGACGGUACUGAGGAGGAAGCCCCGG